rnacentral:rRNA from 1 species
UACGAAGGGGGCUAGCGUUGCUCGGAAUCACUGGGCGUAAAGCGCGCGUAGGCGGACCUGCAAGUCGGGGGUGAAAGCCCGAGGCUCAACCUCGGAACUGCCUUCGAUACUGCGGGUCUCGAGUCCGGGAGAGGUGAGUGGAAUUCCUAGUGUAGAGGUGAAAUUCGUAGAUAUUAGGAAGAACACCAGUGGCGAAGGCGGCUCACUGGCCCGGUACUGACGCUGAGGCGCGAAAGCGUGGGGAGCGAACAGG